rnacentral:SRP_RNA from 1 species
GCCGGGCACGGUGGCGUGUGCCUGUAGUCCCAGCUAUUCGGGAGGCUGAGGCUGGAGGAUCACUUGAGCCCAGGAGUUCUGGGCUGUAGUGUGCUAUGCCAGUCAGGUGUCCGCACUAAGUUCGGCAUCAAUAUGGUGACCUCCCGGGAGCGGGGUAACACCAAGUUGCCUAAGGAGGGGUGAACCGGCCCAGGUCGGAAACGGAGUGGGUCAAAACUCCUGUGCUGAUCAGUAGUGGGAUCACACCUGUGAAUAGCCACUGCACUCCAGCCUGGGCAACAUAGUGAGACCCUGUCUCU